rnacentral:misc_RNA from 1 species
CACCCCUCAAGCUCAGCUUGGUCUUGGGCUCCGCCGCUCACCCGGCGGGCCCUAAAAUCAGUGGCGGCGCCGCUGUGGCCCUGCGCGUAGUAAACCUCCUCGCUACAGGGACCCGGCGAACGCUGGCCAGCAACCCCCAACCCUCCAC